AUUGAACGCUGGCGGCAUGCUUUACACAUGCAAGUCGAACGGUAACAGGUUAAGCUGACGAGUGGCGAACGGGUGAGUAAUGCAUCGGAACGUGCCCGGUCGUGGGGGAUAACGCAGCGAAAGCUGCGCUAAUACCGCAUACGAUCUGAGGAUGAGAGCGGGGGACCGUAAGGCCUCGCGCGAUCGGAGCGGCCGAUGUCAGAUUAGGCAGUUGGUGGGGUAAAGGCUCACCAAGCCGACGUUCUGUAGCUGGUCUGAGAGGACGACCAGCCACACUGGGACUGAGACACGGCCCAGACUCCUACGGGAGGCAGCAGUGGGGAAUUUUGGACAAUGGGCGCAAGCCUGAUCCAGCAAUGCCGCGUGCAGGAAGAAGGCCUUCGGGUUGUAAACUGCUUUUGUACGGAGCGAAAAGGCUCUCUCUAAUACAGGGGGCUCAUGACGGUACCGUAAGAAUAAGCACCGGCUAACUACGUGCCAGCAGCCGCCGUAA
rnacentral:rRNA from 1 species